UGAGCUCAGGACAAGCCUCUCUCUCUCUCUCUCUCUCUCUCUCUCGUUUUUACUCUCUCGGUAAUUUCGUCGAACACCUUCUCUGGAUCUUCGAUUUCCUACUUUCUUCUCACUUCCUGCAUUUUCUUGAUUCACAUUUUUGUGUCUCAGCUAGUUUUGAGUUUCCUAUUGAUUUUGCGGUUCAAUUAGGGUUUGAUUGUGUGGACUGAUUGUGAGGGCCAAGAAAUAUUGGCUUCGUUUCUCAGGAAAUAGCGAUAAACUUCACAGCAUUGAGCAAAAUCUAAUUAGUUGGCUGUUUGUUCUUUUUGAUUUGAUUGGUAUGCUGUUUAUUCAACUGGCUUUGUGAGUGUAUAUCUUUGCACUUGCUUAAUUUUCUUAUAUAGAAAUAACAAGAAUGUAAUGACACUAUCAAUUACCCUCUAACUGGGUUUCGUUUGAAGUAGUUGCAUGUUAGAAUUUUCAAUGUAUCGUGGAUUUAGCUGUGGUUUUCAAUAUUGGGCAUGAUAGAAUUUGAUUACAAAGAUUAGGGGAAAAAAAAAAAGAGCCCUUAAUAGUCCAAGAAAUUUCUAUGCAACUCACCUCAGAUUCUGUAUUAUAUUGCCACUUUCUUGAUAUAUAGUCCAAGUAACAGUUAUCUUUAUGCAUGUGAAUGAUGGUGGGCUGUUGUUUCAUGAUAUAUACGAUUCCUCUUCAAGCAUACUUUGAGAUAGAAAAGAAAUGUAGUUAAUAAAGUCACCAAGUCAGAAGUUAUCCAUGGAAUAAUUCAGUUUGGGGUGUAAUAAUUCUGUGCUCGGUCCACUAAAGUGAAGAGCCAUUAUGUUCUGAGAUGGACAUCACAGUCAUGGACGACAAUUCGGAGAAGAAGAAGAAGAAAAAGGACGAAGAAAAGGGAUAAUCGCAUAGUGAACUGGGAAUGUGUGUUGCGGACUGCAAUAUCUGAUAUUGAGGUGGAUCCUCCAAUUGAAAUAAAAGAAAGGACACUACUAGAAGUUUCUGGAUAUGAUCGAGAACCCUGUUGAAUUUGGGGUUAUGACUUUAUUUGCAUAUCAUGUGGAAGAAGAUUUAGGUGAGAUAGUUGUAGCCACUACCGGAAUAGAGAUGAUGCUCGGUGAUACAGCUAUCGUAGUGCAUCCUGAUGACAAAAUAUAUAAGCAUCUUCAUGGAAACAUGCAAUCCAUCCAUUUAAUGGAAGAAGGAUUCCUAUAAUAAGUGAUGAAAUUCUUGUUGAUCCAGAGUUUGGAACUGGUGCUGUCAAGAUUACCCAGACCCAUGCUCCUAAUGACUUUAUGGUCGGGAAGCGCCAUAAUCUUGAGUUUAUCAACAUCUUUACUGAUGAUGGGAAGAUAAACCAGUAUGGGGGAGCAUUUGAAGGGAUUCCACCCUUCAGAGCCCGAGAGGCUGUGACUGAUGCAUUAAAGAAGGGCCUCUUCAAAGAAACUAGGAUCAAAGAAACUUAGACCAAUGAGAUGUGUCUUAGAAUUUGCUCUAGAAGUAAAGAUGUUGUGGAGCCUAUGAUAAAGCCCCAAUGGUACAUUAAGAUGUGUCUUAGAAUUUGCUCUAGAAGUAAAGAUGUUGUGGAGCCUAUGAUAAAGCCCCAAUGGUACAUUAAAUGCAGCGAUAUGGGAAAUGAAGCUCUCAAUGCUGUCGCCGAUGAUGAAAAUAGGAAGCUGGAGAUUAUCCCUAGACAGUAUACUGCUGGUUGGAAAGAUGGCUUCAUAACAUUCAUGAUUGGUGUGUCUCGAGGCAACUUUGGUGGGGUCACUGUGUUCCGGCAUGGUAUGUUGUUUUUGAGGGUGAUAACAAUGAAGAAUUUGGAAGACUUUUUGAGCGAUGGGUGGUUCCGAGAAGUGAGGAAGAGGCUCAAGCAAAGUUGCCUCGAGAAACAUUAAUAUCCUUCAAGUUUUCUAUAUUACAGAUGGGAGGAACAUUAUCUUCUCAUUUACAGUGGGAAUGAAUUGACAAUGGAAGUGUUGUCCAUCAAAUUUCUCCAAGAGGCAGUGUCUAGAUAAAACCACGAAAACAACCUCUAACCGAGAUGCUAAAGACAUGAGCUCCCCAACUUUGAGAUCUCUCAAGUUCCUUCUAAGCCAAAGUCCCAACUCAACUGAAGAAUGGAGGAAUCAGUAUGCUCUCUAGCAAUCGAAAAGUAAUGAUAAAGAGCUGUUUCCAAAUGAACUUCAGAUUGAGCCUGGAAUUAUAAUAUUGGGUUCCAGCUACUUGCUUGCAGCUUGUAUUUACUUCUAAUGACAGGACACCAUAAAGACUCUCCUGAAAUCUCCAACUCCCAAGUAAUGCCUCAUUCAUUUUCACAUAACGCCCCACCCGAAUCCACCUCUGUUUUCGUACUUGAGAUACAACUUAUUAGUCAAGUUAUGCGUCUUUCACUCAUCCCCUUCAUAGAAAGGCUGUCAUCAAUCUCUCUAACCUUUUAGAAACAUUGCAAGGGAUUUGAAACGAAGUGAGAUAGUAGAUAGCAAAUUACUCAAAACCAACUGAUUUGAAGUUAUUUUGCCUCCCUUCGAUAAAAAUGUUUUUAUAUAUCCAACCUAUAGGUAGCUACCAACCUCCUCUCCACCUUCUUCACUUGAUCCUUAAAGAUUACUUCCCUUGGACACCAAAACCUUCUCCGUCUUCUCUUACUGUAAGAUUAUUUUGAACAGAUUCUACAUGUAAUUGUUUUGUUAAGUCCAAAGAGAAAGUUUCUAUUCAUCUUUUUAUUUUGCCUCCAUUCCAUAUACAUAAUGAUCUAUUUUUCUGUUAAAAUUUCUUUCCAGCUUUGUGUCUCAAGUAUGUAAGGAUUUCUAUCUUCUUUGGAUCCUACAGAUUACCCCGGCCCAUGAUCCUAAUGACUUUAUGGUUGGGAAGCGCAUAAUCUUGAGUUUAUCAACAUCUUUACUGAUGAUGGAAAAAUAAACCAGUAUGGGGGAGCAUUUGAAGGGAUGCCACAUCUGUGAGUGGACAGUGUAUCUGUAUACUUAGAUGGGUUUUCAUUCAGUAAGAGAGCUGGAAAAAUGAAAGGGUGGAGUUUGAUAUGUCUCUUAUUGAGUUGGUUGUGAAGUCUCUCCAAUCUCUUGCUUAGGAAAGUCGUGAAAGGAGACAAGGUUUUGUGCUUUGUAAGCAAGUUUGGGAAAGUGCGACCAGGAGGCAAUAUGCAAUCAUCAACUGGAAAUUAAAACGCUUGCUAAUGUGUCGUCUUUGAGGGCAAGUACUCCUGUGAUUUUUUUAUUAAAAAACAAAAAAAUUCUCAAUAUCUAGCAUGUUUUAAUUUUCAGUUAUUGCUGAACAAAAAGGAGUCCUUAGUUGUUGCCUUGCAUGCAUUGUACUAAUUGUGUGUUCUGUGAUAUAUAAACAUAAAAUUACUGUGAGUAGAGAUGUCAGGAAAAGAAGUGUUUCGUGUAUAAAUCAUAUUAAAGUUCUUAUCGCCACAGGUAAUCGAUGAGAACAAUGCUGCUCCAACUAGAUGUGCGGUGUCUGUUGUGAAUGAAAAGCUUUCUGUUUAUCUCAAGCUACAUUGCACAUUACUUCCCCAAUUCUAUUCGUGUUUAGGAUUCUGACAACAGCUAAUAUUUUAUACCAACAGGGAACAUGAGAGGCAAUCGAAGAAAUUGAAUAUGCUUGCAGCUAAUGAAGUUAAGGUCCCCGAGAAGGUUAUAAGAGAUACUGCUGGCAAGCUGGAAUCCCUUGAGAAGGAAAAGUUGUCUCUUGAAGAGUCGAUCAGGUCAACUUAUGGAAACGCAUGAGAUGAACUUUCAAGUAUCAAUUCCUGUUCAGUGACUUUUGUAAACCAACUCCAGAACCUUUCCCCCGAAGGAAAAAGGAACAUGUUUGGGCUGUAGUGUAGGAAUCCCUUGAAAGAUUAAUUUAAGUUUGCUUUGCAUGCUGUGUUUGUAUGGUGAUAUAUCAGAAGAUUUUCAUGUUUAGUUUGCUUUGCAUUUGGAUUAUUAGACCUUUCAUACAUUUUCAAUUAAUUAGUGUUGAGUGC